CCUGACCCAAGGGCUAUUGCAGGUGUGGCUGCUGAGUCACAUGUGCAUCAGUAGGUGGCAGAGAGGAGAGAGGCUACAUCUACUCUCAGAGUUCGAACCUAUGAACAUCUGAAUAAUUAGUAGCUUAACAUU
ensembl:snoRNA Gm26344 small nucleolar RNA SNORA17